CCCCUUUAUCCAAGUGUCUCUCUCAGCCUUGCUUUCCAAAGCUACAAAUUACACUUGCUGUUAGAAGAUACAGGAAUAGUGCUGCCCUUCAGAGGAAAUCAAUGACUAUGGCAAUUCUUUCUGCCUAGUUUGCAAAGACAGGGAAAUCCACUAUUGGGGUAAUGAUUUUAUCUAUAUAAAAUAUUAAUUGAUACAUUUUUUGCGAAAGAAUUGCGUUAUUUGAUUUCCUUAAUGUGAAUUACACAUUCUCCUGUUGACAACAAUUCAUGAGAAGGG